rnacentral:rRNA from 1 species
CAGCCGCCGCGGUAAGACGGAGGGUGCUAGCGUUGUUCGGAAUCACUGGGCGUAAAGGGCGCGUAGGCGGCCUGUUAAGUCGGAUGUGAAAGCCCGGGGCUCAACCCCGGAACUGCAUCCGAGACUGGCAGGCUUGAGACCGGGAGAGGAGGGUGGAAUAUCCAGUGUAGAGGUGAAAUUCGUAGAUAUUGGAUGGAACACCGGUGGCGAAGGCGACUGACUGGACAAGUAUUGACGCUGAGGUGCGAAAGCGUGGGGAGCAAACAGGAUUAGAUACCCCGGUAGUCCCUGUCUCUUAUAC